rnacentral:rRNA from 1 species
UACGAAGGGGGCUAGCGUUGUUCGGAAUUACUGGGCGUAAAGCGCACGUAGGCGGAUAUUUAAGUCAGGGGUGAAAUCCCAGAGCUCAACUCUGGAACUGCCUUUGAUACUGGGUAUCUUGAGUAUGGAAGAGGUAAGUGGAAUUGCGAGUGUAGAGGUGAAAUUCGUAGAUAUCGGGAGGAACACCGGUGGCGAAGGCGGCGAUCUGGGUAGAUACUGACGCUGAGGUGCGAAAGCGUGGGGAGCAAACAGG